rnacentral:tRNA from 1 species
CAGGGAGACAACAAAAUGUUUAAUAUUAUUAUUUUGUCACCUUAGGUCGAUCGGUAUCUCACGUUCUUAAUUUAUUAAGAAUUUCAUUUCCUAAGUUUUUCUAGGUCACACCCAUUAUUUUUCCUGGGCCAUUAGCUCAGGUGGUUAGAGCGCACCCCUGAUAAGGGUGAGGUCCCUGGUUCAAGUCCAGGAUGGCCCAUAUCUCUAUGUUGGGGGUAUAGCUCAGUUGGUAGAGCGCCUGCUUUGCAAGCAGGAUGUCAGCGGUUCGAGUCCGCUUACCUCCACUGAUUACCACCUCUUCCAUAAUUUAUAGAAAGGAAAUGUUUUGAGUAGUGAUCAAAUUCUGAACGAAUCUAGCUUCCUAAUGAAAUUAUUAAGAUGCUGGACUCAUUGAAUUAUUUUCAUUGUUUUCAGAGAACCUUGACAACUGCAUAGAUUAUUUUUAAAGACAAUAAGCAUCUUUAACGAUGCAGAUUUAUUAUUUGUGCGAAUGCAUUAAUAACAAUUCUAUUAAGCUGAUGCUUCAAAUUGAAGUUAUU